GGUAGAAAGACAAACAUUAUUACUCUAUAUACAUGUAUGAUUACAUUAGUGGAGUGACUCUGAACCACGUAUAGCCAGAGUAAUGAGAAGUUGUGCUCCAUUUGUGAACUAUAUGUCAAAAUUCAUUCUACUAUAAAUUAAUUAAUUUAAAAAUUAUUUGCAGAAGACACUCCAUCCUGUAGCAGGAUAUCCUGUAAACAUCACUAAAAUAACAAUAGCUAAACAAAACUAUUCAAUGAUAUAUAUCCAAAUCUUAUCAUUAUUUAUUUUCUAGCAAAAAAAUUGGCUGUCUUCUCUUGAUCAAAUCAAGGUUCUGUUCUUUCUUAAACUGAUAAUGUUUGUUUUAAUGAUUAAAGUCAGAACCUUUACUGUUUUUUCACAUAGUGUCUCUGUGGUUUAUAUAAAAUUGAAUUUAGCUGGAACACUUUCAUCUUUCUGCUUUAAUCACCCUAAAUGUCUCUGGAAAAUAGUUUAAUGUUCUACAGGACAGUGAUUAAUCUCUGUUUGUUAGAGUCAUCUGUUUAAGUAACAUCAUGUUCUUAAAUUGUUUUUCUAGUUAAAAAUGCUAAGGAAGAUAAAUAAAUCGCUAUUAAAUUAUUU
rnacentral:lncRNA from 1 species